rnacentral:rRNA from 1 species
UCCGGGGGGAGCAAGCGUUGUUCGGAUUUACUGGGCGUAAAGGGCGCGUAGGCGGUCAGCACAAGUCAGUUGUGAAAUCUCCGGGCUUAACUCGGAAAGGUCAACUGAUACUGUGCGACUAGAGUGCAGAAGGGGCAACUGGAAUUCUCGGUGUAGCGGUGAAAUGCGUAGAUAUGCGGAGGAACACCGAUGGCGAAGGCAAUCCCCUGGGCCUGCACUGACGCUCACGCACGAAAGCGUGGGGAGCAAACAGG